UUGUACUUUAUGGGGACGACCAAUAUUUGUUCUUAUUUGUAUUACUUUGUUAAUCAGUAAUUUUUUUAUAAGGGCGAUUUCACGCAAGGCUGUACGUGUUGGCUGUUUUUAUCGAGAAAGCACCGCUUACUUCUUGAACAAAACAGCCGUUUUUAUAAAAUGAUGAAUCUACCCGAACAAUUAUGGGUUUGCUCAAUGCAAGCUUGAGUGAAGUGACCAGAGCAGCACAGAUAUGAUAAAGUUAUCUGGUGAAGAAAUCAAGGAAUUCAGAUUUUAUACGUCAGAAGGACUCAAAUCAGCAUGACAUGACAAGGAAGCAGGCGAUGAACAUGAAUGCAUGCAUGGCAUGUCCAACGAAAUCCAAAUGAUUCGACUGUGUUGGAUAGAUUCAUCAUGAUAUAGUAUUAGAGCUUUCUUGACAGAGCUGGUCGGCGGCCUUGAAGCACAAUUGCUAAAGGCAAGCAGCGGUGUUCCUGUCUUCAGGGUGUGGUUGCCGGUCGAUUACAGCGCAUGAAGCUUUACGCCUCGCUUGAUGGGUACAGGGCUCCACUAUGCAGAACUUAUCCCUCGCAUACCCUGCAAAGUGUUGCUCUGUUUUCAGGCGAUGCAUCUGCUUAGUUGGCUUAAUGCCAACAAAUACAAUAAAAGAAAAAAUAAAGACCCGACCUUCUUCAUGGGAACAGCCAAUAAUUAACCCAAUCUUUUUCUUGUUCACCUGUCAAAUUGUGAUGAUGGCGAUUUCGAGCCAAUGUUGGCUGUUUUCAUCGAGAAAGUAGGCAGGUCCUAUAUCAUGAUGAAUCUACCAAAUCGAUUACGGCGCAACGCAAGUUUUGGCAAAGAGUCGGAGUUAGAGGGGUGCAGUGACCGAAGAUAUAAUACAGACUCAAUUGGCGUAGACCUCGCGAAGAUCAGAUUUAACAGUCAGAAGAAGCUUUUCCGGAAGGCAGAGUUGCGGAGUGGAAAACUUAGACCCAACCAUGCAGCUACGAUGUGAGUGAAGAACUACCAGAACUACAGAGUUCGAUAUCGGACCUGUUACAGUCGCCCAGCUAACAGCCAGCCUGAGUCUUCCAGCUGCAGUCGUAACCGAACCGAGCGGCAGUCACCGCUUUUAGAAUUCAACGCCACUGCAACACCUGAGCUAGCUGUAGUCCUUCAGAGGUUUGUCAUAUAUUUUUAAAAUAUCAACUUUUUAGGCUAGGCGUAAGCUGACACAGCGCCGCAAUGAGUUCAAAGCGUAGAGCAGUAGUUGAAAUUUUAAUAUGAGGGCGAUUUUUGCCAUUCUAGAGACUUUCCUUAUAAAUGUUGUAUAGCUAGCUAAAUUUCUCUGUUUCUGACAUCAGAAAUAAAACUUUAAGCGGUAGGCCUUACAACGUUUAUUAGAGUGGUUAAAUGAAUAAACAUAGUGCA